rnacentral:lncRNA from 1 species
UAGGAAAUGAUCUGAUUCCAUCCAUAAUGCUUGUUGCAUUUCCUUUGGCUUAUGGUCUGCAGAUUUUUCACUUUCAUUUUUUUCACUCACUGGUAUUUCCUUCCUGCACCACUGCUGGGUGACUACAGGCAUUGCUGGCAGAAAUUCGCCUUGGAAGACUGACAGUUUGCCUGGAACAUCCAGUUACAAAUGUGAUGCUCACCUGAACCUCAGAGUGUUGCAAAGCACCUUGACACUUUCGGCACUUACUGACUGAAGUCAGAAUUGGAGGUUUUCACACAAUGACCAACAGCUGUUCUACCUAAUCAGGCUGCAGCAGACAGCAAACAGUGAAGCGGGCGAAUUUGCCAUUUAUAUGGAUAGCUUUGCAAAGCAACCCAGCUCCUUCAAAAAGAGGUAAGUGUAAUGCACAAUAUGGCAGUUCUUUUAAAAUUGAUGCUUAAAUCUAUUUUAUUUGUAUAUGAGA